rnacentral:RNase_P_RNA from 2 species
GAGAGUAGGCGUAGGCGGUUGCAGAUCAGUGAACACUGGUUUGAGGAAAGUCCGGACUCCCCAAAGACCAGACUUGCUGGAUAACGUCCAGUGCGAGCGAUCGUGAGGAUAGUGCCACAGAAAAAUACCGCCAGGGUGAAAGACUAGGGACUGGGACUGGGUACUGGAUAAGAAAUUGCCCAAACCCUAAUCCCCAAUCCCCAAUCCCCAAUCUCUGGUAAGGGUGCAAAGGUGUGGUAAGAGCGCACCAGCAACGUCGAGAGGCGUUGGCUCGGUAAACCCCGGUUGGGAGCAAGGCCGUAGGAACUAUGGUUGGUCUUUUACCAGUUCCGCUGUAAAAGAGCCGCUAGAGGCGUUUGGUAACAAACGUCCCAGAUAGAUAACCGCCCUCAUGUAGAGCAAUCUACAUAGAGAACAGAACCCGGCUUACUACCGACUCUCUCCU